UCUUUCAAUUCUAGGGUUCUAAACUCGAUUUACUUUCAUCCGAUUAUGAUUAGUGCUUUUUUUCUUACAGAUCCUUGUAACCAUCCUGUUGAUGGAUUCUCUGCCCGUUUUGCUGACAAAAACAAUCUAUUUGAAUUGAAUGGAGCCUCACGAUUAUUGGGCUGCCUGAUAUAUUAUAUUUAAUUAGUAGAGACACACAUAUUUUCUUUUUUCGUGGGUAGAGCAUUUGUUACAGAUAUUGAGAAGUUUGGAUUGAGAAGCAAAGCAAGAUCGUUGGAGAUCAAAAGUUUAAUAGGCUUUUUUUCAGAGGUCGCAGAGGUUUGCCUUCAAAUUUCUUUCUUUAUUGGAUGAGUUAUGAAGUUGUUCAAUCUGUAGUAAUAUUCGUACGAACGUUUAUGUAGGAUUGAAUUUAGCCUGGUUCAAAUCUUUUGCAAUCAGUUGAAUACGUUGUAUUUGGGGUACAUUCUAUUAUCUGUUUUCACACUAUAAAUUUUAUACUGUAAAAAAAUCAUAUUCAGACUCCUAUUAAAGCGAUAUCGAAUAAAGGAGUUGUAUAUGUUGUUAGCAGCCUAUUGAGAAACAAUCUCUCCUUUAUUUUGGGAUCUUAUGUUGUCUCGUUCAUAUUUUCAAUGCCCUUUUGGGUCCCGAUAGACAAAAUACAAGGCAUCAGGGUAUUUCAAUUGAUGACAAGGCAGAAGUCAUGGAUAACACAGGUCUAGACAGACGGCAUGAGGUAGAAGGUAAUGUUAUGCAUAUUAUGAAGGCUUUGCCAAGUCAUCAUGCACCUGCUCAAAGUUUAAUUGAAGACAAUUCACUACAAUUACUUUUUGAGAUGGUUGCUAAUGGAUCUUUGAUAUUAAGUUCAAGAUAUAAAGAAGGUUUCAGCGGGCAGUGGCUUUUGUGGAUUCAAACCGGUUAUAUGAAUUCAAGAAUCACAAUCACAAAAUUAGAUGUUACAAUUAGAUACAUACACAUAUUCAAACACCGCUUU